rnacentral:lncRNA from 1 species
CACCCCAUCCUACUUCCCCAUCUCCUGUAAGUAUUUUACUUUCAGAUUCCGAGUGACUAUUUAUUUUUACAGCCUGAGGCAAACACAACAGUAUGAAACUUCAUGGGGAGCUGUGUUUGCUGUUGAUUCUACUAGAGAAGAGGAGAGUCUGUAAUCAUGGAGAAUACACCAAGGAAUGUAACUGGCUCUGAGUCCUCAGAGACAGUGAAUCCUCAAGCACCAGCUGGUAACAUGGCAUCACCAAGACGUAGUGCUGAGGAACCUGUGGGAAUUGCCAACAGAGCCGCUCCAACAACAUCACCAACCAGAAGGUAACUUUUCUGAAAACGGGGUCUUAGGAGGAAAGUGUCUCCUCAUGGUAAUUGCUGUGAUGUUCUGACUCUUGUUCUACACACCAGAGACAAAACCUGGCUCACAAAGGUGUGAGAACAAUGGACCUGAUUUUGCACUUGCUCACACAAGCUUUGAUAU